rnacentral:rRNA from 1 species
AGUGAACGCUGGCGGUAGGCCUAACACAUGCAAGUCGAACGGCAGCACAGUAAGAGCUUGCUCUUACGGGUGGCGAGUGGCGGACGAGUGAGGAAUACAUCGGAAUCUACUUUUUCGUGGGGGAUAACGUAGGGAAACUUACGCUAAUACCGCAUACGACCUACGGGUGAAAGCAGGGGAUCUUCGGACCUUGCGCGAUUGAAUGAGCCGAUGUCGGAUUAGCUAGUUGGCGGGGUAAAGGCCCACCAAGGCGACGAUCCGUAGCUGGUCUGAGAGGAUGAUCAGCCACACUGGAACUGAGACACGGUCCAGACUCCUACGGGAGGCAGCAGUGGGGAAUAUUGGACAAUGGGCGCAAGCCUGAUCCAGCCAUACCGCGUGGGUGAAGAAGGCCUUCGGGUUGUAAAGCUCUUUUGUUGGGAAAGAAAAGCAGCAGGUUAAUACCCCGCUGUUCUGACGGUACCUAAAGAAUAAGCACCGGCUAACUUCGUG